rnacentral:rRNA from 1 species
AUGCUGAACUGGUCCUUGGAACCUAAUGGAUUAUACUCUGUGAAAUCUUUUUAUAAAAACAUCAACUUUGGAGGGAUAGCUUCUGCUAUCAAAGAUGAUCUUUGGAAAAUUGUUUGCCUUCACAAGAUACAUGUAUUCUUGUGGUUGUGUGCUUAUAAUAAAAUUCUGACUAGGGAUAAUCUGUCUAAAAGGAGGGAGGUGGAGGACCCUUCCUGUCUCUUUUGUGCAGAGCUCGAAUCUGUACAGCAUCUGAUGUUUGACUGUGUAGUUGCUAGACAUGUGUGGGGAUUUGUAUCCGAUUUCUUUUAG